rnacentral:rRNA from 1 species
UUCCGGUUGAUCCCGCCGGACCCCACUGCUAUCGGGAUGGGACUAAGACAUGCUAGUCGAGCGUCUCUAAGCUAUGGAAGAGACGCGGCACACAGCUCAGUAACACGUGGCUAACCUGCCCUUGGGACAAGGACAACUCCGGGAAACUGGGGCUAAUCCCUGAUAGGUGAGAACUCCUGGAAUGGAUUCUCGCUGAAAGGACGUUUAGACCAUGCUUCUAGGCGUCGCCCAAGGAGGGGGCCGCGACCGAUCAGGUUGUUGGUGAGGUAACGGCUCACCAAGCCUUUAACCGGUACGGGCCGUGAGAGCGGAAGCCCGGAGAUGGGCACUGAGACAAGGGCCCAGGCCCUACGGGGCGCAGCAGUCGCGAAAACUCCGCAAUACACGAAAGUGUGACGGGGCUAUCCCGAGUGCCAUCCGCUGAGGAUGGCUUUUCCCCAGUGUAUAAAGCUGGGGGAAUAAGGAGAGGGCAAGCCUGGUGUCAGCCGCCGCGGUAAUACCAGCUCUCCGAGUGGUGGGGAUGUUUAUUGGGCCUAAAGCAUUCGUAGCCUGCUUGGCAAGUCCUCCGUUAAAUCCAACGAUUCAAUCGUUGGGCUGCGGGGGAUACUGUCCGGCUAGGGGGCGGGAGAGGCCGACGGUAUCCCCGGGGUAGGGGUGAAAUCCUAUAAUCCCGGGAGGACCACCAGUGGCGAAGGCUGUCGGCUAGAACGCGCUCGACGGUGAGGGAUGAAAGCUGGGGGAGCGAACCGGAUUAGAUACCCGGGUAGUCCCAGCUGUAAACGAUGCAGGCUAGGUGUUGGCGCGGCUACGUGCCGCUCCAGUGCCGCAGGGAAGCCGUUAAGCCUGCCGCCUGGGAAGUACGGCCGCAAGGCUGAAACUUAAAGGAAUUGGCGGGGGAGCACCACAAGGUGUGAAGCUUGCGGUUUAAUUGGAGUCAACGCCGGA